rnacentral:piRNA from 1 species
UGGGAGUUCAGAUACAGUGAUGCUUCAGA